rnacentral:rRNA from 1 species
AAGUCGUAACAAGGUUUCCGUAGGUGAACCUGCGGAAGGAUCAUUAAUGAGGGCGUGUGGGCUAAUAUCCCCGCGAACCCUAAUCCUUUGUUUACUGCCCCAAUGUGGGUUUUUUUUACUUGGGCUCGGUUUUGACGUUGUGAUAUGCCCAAAAGGCUGCCACAGUUUUUUAACUCUCCCAAAGGAAAAAAAACAAACAAAAAAAAAUAAAAUCUUAAUAACACAAUUAAUGUCUGAAGUAAAUUAUUUUAAACAAGCAAAACUUUCAACAACGGAUCUCUUGGUUCCGGCAUCGAUGAAGAACGCAGCGAAAUGCGAUAAGUAAUGUGGACCGCAGUACUCAGCGACUCAUCGAAUCUUUGAACGCACAUUGCGCCCCUUGGNAUCACCAAAGGGCACACCUGUUCGAGCGUCAUCAUACAUCGAAUCAGGCCUGGGCCCGGGCUUGCAAUUGGGCUUUGUCUGCUUUAUGUAGAAGUCUAAAAGUCAGUGNCGGUUAAGUUAGACAUUCCAGCGUAGUGGAUUAUAUUAGCUGUUGAAAUGUCUUUUACAUAACAGUCAGGGUUUCUGCUGGCGGAGACCUUUAAAAGAUUUUUUUUUUAAAUCAAUUAUUGACCUCGGAUCAGGUGAGGAUACCCGCUGAAUUUAAGCAUAUUAAUAAGCGGAGGAAAAGAAACCAACAGGGAUUGCCUUAGUAGCGGCGAGUGAAGCGGCAACAGCUCACAUUNGAAAUCCGGCUCAUAAUUAAGGGUCUGAGUUGUAAUCUACAGAGGGUGUUUCGGGUAAAGUCUGGUUUAAGUUCCUUGGAACAGGACGUCAUAGAGGGUGAGAACCCCGUCAGUANCCAAUCACCAAACCCAUGUGAAACCCCUUCGACGAGUCGAGUUGUUUGGGAAUGCAGCUCCAAAUGGGUGGUAAAUUUCAUCUAAAGCUAAAUAUUGGCCGGAGACCGAUAGCGCACAAGUAGAGUGAUCGAAAGAUGAAAAGCACUUUGGAAAGAGAGUUAAAUAGUACGUGAAAUUGUUGAAAGGGAAGCGCUUGUGGCCAGACCUGUGCAUAGGUGAUCAGUUGGUAUUUUUUUUCUUACCAAUGCACUCACCUAAAGCCAGGCCAGCAUCGGUUUCGGCGGCGGGACAAAAGCGUGGAGAAUGUAACUCUCUCUUGGGUGAGUACUUAUAGCUCGUCAUGAAAUGCCGCCAGCCGAGACCGAGGACCGCGCUUCGGCUAGGAUGCUGGCGUAAUGGUUGCAAGCGACC